rnacentral:lncRNA from 1 species
CCGGGCCCCAAAGCAGCCCCAACUGUGCCUGGUCCUCCUCCAUCCUGGGCCCCAAAGCAGCCCCAACUGUGCCUGGCCGUCCUCCAUCCUGGGCCCCAAAGCAGCCCCAACUGUGCCAGGUCCAUCUCCAUCCUGGGCCCCAAAGCAGCCCCAACUGUUGCUGGUCCUCCUCUAUCCUAAGCCCCACGGCUAGGGUUGUGCCGGGGCCCCCUGUGCUCUGGGCCAAGAGGAGGCCCCAACUGUGCCAGGCACCCCUCCAGUCCAGGCCCCAAAGCAGCCCCACCUGUGCCAGGCCCAUCUCCAUCCUGGGCCCCAAAGCAGCCCCAACUGUUCCUGGUCCUCCUCCAUCCUAGGCCCCAAGGCCCGAACUGUUCUUGGGCCCCUUUUUGUCUGGGCCCAGAGGAGGCCUCAACUGUGCCAGGCCCCCCUCCAGCCUAGGCACCAAAGCAGCCCCAACUGUGCCUGGUCCUGUUUCAUCCUGGGCCCCAAGGCCCUGGCUGUGCCUGGGCCCUUUUUGGUCUGGGCCAAGAGCAGGCCUCAACUGUGCCUGGUCCUUCUCUAGCCCAGGCCCCAAAGCAGCCCCAACUGUGCUAUGCCCCCCUCCAGCUCAGGCACCAAAGCAGCCCCAACUGUGCCUGGUCCUCCUCCAUCCUGGGCCCCAACACAGCCCCAACUGAGCCUGGUUCUCCUCCAUCCUGGGCCCCGAGGCUCUACCUGUGCCUGGGUCCCCUUCCUUCUGGGCCCACACCAGGCCUCAACUGUGCCAGGCCCCCUCCAGCCUGGGCCCCGAGGCCACCACUGUGCUGCACCACCCUCCGGCACAGGCCCUGCCCCAAGCCCUGCCCCCUGUGGACAGCUCUGCUCUUUGCCUGCUUGUUUUUUUUCCUCUCUUCACUCUGCCAGCUUAACUGGAUGAGUUUCAAUGGGGCCGAGCGUCGGGUCCUGCAUUUUGGUCACAACAACCCCAGGCGUCCCCCCAGUCCUCCUUGGCGAGGAGUGGCUGGAAAGCUGCCUGAUCCCUGAAAGGGACCUUGGUGUGCUGAUGGACAGGUGGCUGAAGAUGAGCCAGCAGUGUGCCCAGGUGGCCAAGAAGGCCAAUGGCAUAACCACAAUUCCUGGCUCAGGAAUGGUGUGGUGAGCAGGACUAAGGAAGUCAUCCUGCCCCUGGACUCGGCACUGGCGAGGCCUCACCUCGAGUCCAGUGUUCAGUUUUGGGCACCUCAGCACAGAAGGGCUGUUGAGGUGCUGAAGCAGGUUGAAAGAAGGGCAACAAGGCUGGGGAAGGCCUUGGACAAUAUGCCCUCUGAGGAGUGAGUGAAGGAACUGGGGCUGUUUAGCGUGGGGAAAAGGAGGCUGAGGGGAGACCUGAUGGGCUCCCUAUUCCACCCAGGGAGCUGGUUCAGUCACCAUCCCUGAAUGUGUUGAAAACCAG